UACAGAGGAUGCAAGCGUUAUCCGGAAUGAUUGGGCGUAAAGCGUCUGUAGGUGGCUUUUUAAGUCCGCCGUCAAAUCCCAGGGCUCAACUCUGGACAGGCGGUGGAAACUACCAAGCUGGAGUACGGUAGGGGCAGAGGGAAUUUCCGGGUGGAGCGGUGAAAUGCGUAGAUAUCUGGAGGAACACCGGUGGCGAAGGCGGCAUCCUGGACCGACAUUGACGCUGAACGGCGAAAGCUAGGGGAGCAAACGGG
rnacentral:rRNA from 1 species